rnacentral:rRNA from 1 species
CGUAGGGUCCAAGCGUUGUCCGGAUUUACUGGGCGUAAAGAGCGCGUAGGCGGCUCGUUAAGUGUGGUGUGAAAUCUCCAGGGCUCAACCCGGAAACUGCACCGCAUACUGGCGAGCUUGAGGAAUGCAGAGGUAACUGGAAUUCCUGGUGUAGCGGUGAAAUGCGUUGAUAUCAGGAGGAACACCCAUGGCGAAGGCAGGUUACUGGGCAUUAUCUGACGCUGAGGCGCGAAAGCGUGGGUAGCAAACAGGAUUAGAUACCCUGGUAGUCCACGCCCUAAACGAUGGAUACUAGGCGUAAGAGGUAUCGACCCCUCUUGUGCCGCAGCUAACGCACUAAGUAUCCCGCCUGGGGAGUACGGCCGCAGGGUUG